rnacentral:rRNA from 1 species
CAGAGGGUGCAAGCGUUGUUCGGAAUUCUUGGGCGUAAAGCGCGUGUAGGCGGCCUUGCAAGUCGGGUGUGAAAGCCCUCAGCUCAACUGAGGAAGCGCGCCCGAAACUGCAGAGCUUGAGUACCGGAGAGGAUGGCGGAAUUCCCCAAGUAGAGGUGAAAUUCGUAGAUAUGGGGAGGAACACCGGUGGCGAAGGCGGCCAUCUGGACGGAUACUGACGCUGAGACGCGAAAGCGUGGGGAGCAAACAGG